rnacentral:lncRNA from 1 species
AUGCGCUGCGCGGGCCCUCCCGCCGCGCCGGGCUCUCAGCGCGCCGCAGCCCCGCGGCGCUUCGCCGCUUUCCGCUCUGACUUCGGGGCCUCGCACCGCGUGAGGCGACGUCGGUGCCUUUGCGCCGCCCUCACCCCCAGGAGGCGCCCCUCCAGCACUCGGAGGCGUCCGUGCGGGGAAAGUUUGCUCUCGGCACGCAGCCACGCGCGCCCCACACACCCGCCCCCGACGAGCCGCUUCCUGCCAGCACGGCGGACGCACGCGCGGUCCCACGCGCGCACCUCCACGCGGACUUUCCGAAGCCGGCGCGGCCCCUUCUGCUGUGCUUUUUCCCUCCCCCUCUCAGCAGAGGUGUCCCGGGAGAGCAGUCCCAGCACCGACGCUCCCGUCCUGGUCCCAGCCUCCGGAGGUGCCCGAUUGGACUCGCUGCGGUUUGCUUCAGUCACACGAAGGAAGCGCACCCACCGGGCAGGGAGCAGGUGGCAGCUCAGCAAAAGAAAACCAGACUUAACAAACAUCAAAGCAGGCAGGGCCUCCACAGGAGACUGGCUUGCCUUGCUCUGUGGGUAGGUUGGGAUGCAACAGGCAGGCAUCAAGAUACUCCCCCCUGUCCUCCUUCCAAGCUUAUCUCUAUGCAAGGACGAGCAGAUGUGCAGAAACAAUGACCAAGUGUUGAGUGAGCAAGUGUGAGAAGUUAACUAAUUAGCAAUAUAUGCUUAGCUAGCAGCAAUUUAUAUUUAUCCAGUAUCCAUAUGUUUAGUUGAGCAUUGGGAAAAUUGCGAACCUGAAGUACUCAGCCAAUGAGGAACCAGGAGAGAAAGAGAUAAGCAUUGAAUAAUAGGGCAUAAAGGAUGUAACGCUGUUUUCUGGGCACUCUCCUGCUUGCAAGAGGCCCGCCAUUGCAAUUGCAAAUAAAAUCUGCUUUAUCAGAGAUACUGUCCUGAUA